GGUUAAGCGACUAAGCGUACACGGUGGAUGCCCUGGCAGUCAGAGGCGAUGAAGGACGUGCUAAUCUGCGAAAAGCGUCGGUAAGGUGAUAUGAACCGUUAUAACCGGCGAUGUCCGAAUGGGGAAACCCAGUGUGAUUCGUCACACUAUCGUUAACUGAAUACAUAGGUUAACGAGGCGAACCGGGGGAACUGAAACAUCUAAGUACCCCGAGGAAAAGAAAUCAACCGAGAUUCCCCCAGUAGCGGCGAGCGAACGGGGAGCAGCCCAGAGUCUGAAUCAGCUUGUGUGUUAGUGGAACGGUCUGGAAAGUCCGACGGUACAGGGUGAUAGUCCCGUACACCAAAAUGCACAGGUUGUGAACUCGAAGAGUAGGGCGGGACACGUGGUAUCCUGUCUGAAUAUGGGGGGACCAUCCUCCAAGGCUAAAUACUCCUGACUGACCGAUAGUGAACCAGUACCGUGAGGGAAAGGCGAAAAGAACCCCGGCGAGGGGAGUGAAAAAGAACCUGAAACCGUGUACGUACAAGCAGUGGGAGCACCUUCGGGUGUGACUGCGUACCUUUUGUAUAAUGGGUCAGCGACUUAUAUUCUGUAGCAAGGUUAACCGUAUAGGGGAGCCGCAGGGAAACCGAGUCUUAACUGGGCGUUAAGUUGCAGGGUAUAGACCCGAAACCCGGUGAUCUAGCCAUGGGCAGGUUGAAGGUUGGGUAACACUAACUGGAGGACCGAACCGACUAAUGUUGAAAAAUUAGCGGAUGACUUGUGGCUGGGGGUGAAAGGCCAAUCAAACCGGGAGAUAGCUGGUUCUCCCCGAAAGCUAUUUAGGUAGCGCCUCGUGAACUCAUCUUCGGGGGUAGAGCACUGUUUCGGCUAGGGGGUCAUCCCGACUUACCAACCCGAUGCAAACUACGAAUACCGAAGAAUGUUAUCACGGGAGACACACGGCGGGUGCUAACGUCCGUCGUGAAGAGGGAAACAACCCAGACCGCCAGCUAAGGUCCCAAAGUCAUGGUUAAGUGGGAAACGAUGUGGGAAGGCACAGACAGCCAGGAUGUUGGCUUAGAAGCAGCCAUCAUUUAAAGAAAGCGUAAUAGCUCACUGGUCGAGUCGGCCUGCGCGGAAGAUGUAACGGGGCUAAACCAUGCACCGAAGCUGCGGCAGCGACACUAUGUGUUGUUGGGUAGGGGAGCGUUCUGUAAGCCUGCGAAGGUGUGCUGUGAGGCAUGCUGGAGGUAUCAGAAGUGCGAAUGCUGACAUAAGUAACGAUAAAGCGGGUGAAAAGCCCGCUCGCCGGAAGACCAAGGGUUCCUGUCCAACGUUAAUCGGGGCAGGGUGAGUCGACCCCUAAGGCGAGGCCGAAAGGCGUAGUCGAUGGGAAACAGGUUAAUAUUCCUGUACUUGGUGUUACUGCGAAGGGGGGACGGAGAAGGCUAUGUUAGCCGGGCGACGGUUGUCCCGGUUUAAGCAUGUAGGCUGAUUGUCCAGGCAAAUCCGGAUAAUCAAGGCUGAGGUGUGAUGACGAGGCACUACGGUGCUGAAGUAACAAAUGCCCUGCUUCCAGGAAAAGCCUCUAAGCAUCAGGUAACAUCAAAUCGUACCCCAAACCGACACAGGUGGUCAGGUAGAGAAUACCAAGGCGCUUGAGAGAACUCGGGUGAAGGAACUAGGCAAAAUGGUGCCGUAACUUCGGGAGAAGGCACGCUGGUGUGUAGGUGAAGUCCCUGCGGAUGGAGCUGAGACCAGUCGAAGAUACCAGCUGGCUGCAACUGUUUAUUAAAAACACAGCACUGUGCAAACACGAAAGUGGACGUAUACGGUGUGACGCCUGCCCGGUGCCGGAAGGUUAAUUGAUGGGGUUAUCCGUAAGGAGAAGCUCUUGAUCGAAGCCCCGGUAAACGGCGGCCGUAACUAUAACGGUCCUAAGGUAGCGAAAUUCCUUGUCGGGUAAGUUCCGACCUGCACGAAUGGCGUAAUGAUGGCCAGGCUGUCUCCACCCGAGACUCAGUGAAAUUGAACUCGCUGUGAAGAUGCAGUGUACCCGCGGCAAGACGGAAAGACCCCGUGAACCUUUACUAUAGCUUGACACUGAACAUUGAGCCUUGAUGUGUAGGAUAGGUGGGAGGCUUUGAAGCGUGGACGCCAGUCUGCGUGGAGCCAACCUUGAAAUACCACCCUUUAAUGUUUGAUGUUCUAACGUUGGCCCCUGACCGGGGUUGCGGACAGUGUCUGGUGGGUAGUUUGACUGGGGCGGUCUCCUCCCAAAGCGUAACGGAGGAGCACGAAGGUUAGCUAAUCCUGGUCGGACAUCAGGAGGUUAGUGCAAUGGCAUAAGCUAGCUUGACUGCGAGCGUGACGGCGCGAGCAGGUGCGAAAGCAGGUCAUAGUGAUCCGGUGGUUCUGAAUGGAAGGGCCAUCGCUCAACGGAUAAAAGGUACUCCGGGGAUAACAGGCUGAUACCGCCCAAGAGUUCAUAUCGACGGCGGUGUUUGGCACCUCGAUGUCGGCUCAUCACAUCCUGGGGCUGAAGUAGGUCCCAAGGGUAUGGCUGUUCGCCAUUUAAAGUGGUACGCGAGCUGGGUUUAGAACGUCGUGAGACAGUUCGGUCCCUAUCUGCCGUGGGCGCUGGAGAAUUGAGGGGGGCUGCUCCUAGUACGAGAGGACCGGAGUGGACGCAUCACUGGUGUUCGGGUUGUCAUGCCAAUGGCACUGCCCGGUAGCUAAAUGCGGAAGAGAUAAGUGCUGAAAGCAUCUAAGCACGAAACUUGCCCCGAGAUGAGUUCUCCCUGAGACUUUAAGUCUCCUGAAGGAACGUUGAAGACGACGACGUUGAUAGGCCGGGUGUGUAAGCGCAGCGAUGCGUUGAGCUAACCGGUACUAAUGAACCGUGAGGCUUAACCUU
rnacentral:rRNA from 2 species